GAUAUGGUACCGGUUUUGUUGGGUUGCAAUGAACAGGUGUAGGUGCGAUUCCGUGCGUGGGUUGUGUGGUUUGUGCUGUUCCAGGCCGGAGAGUGCCAAGGGAUCAUGAGAAUUCAAGAGGUGGUCAGUGAGUACAGAACCCUGCGUGAGUGCCAAGCACCGCUCCAGGACCUUGCCGUUCCUUCCUCUGCCCUUGGUUUUGGAGAGAGCCACGUUGCCUUAGGGACUGAAGCAGGCUCUUUGGAGCCGGAGUCUGGUGGAGACACAGAAGCCAAACUGCAUCUGCUCCAUUAUUAAUUGCUUAAUGACAUUUGGUCUUUUAAUUUGCCUGGGCAUGAGAGAAUUCAGGUCGCCAGGUCAGGACAAGCUGUUGGCAGAAAGCUGCCCGGAUGGCUUUCCAUAAGGCUCCCAACACCCUGAGGUUUUGUGUGUUUUGUUGAGGGUAAGGGAUACUUGUCCCCCAGGCCCAGUGCCCUUGACUUCCUUUCCACGGUGACAGCAGUAACUGAGACGCCCACAGACCUUGUGGGUUCAGCUAGACAGCUCAGGAGAUUCUCGUGAUGACCUUGGCCUUUAGUCUGGAGAGAAAGGAAUUUGUGAAGUCCAAUACCCAACAGAUGAAGCUGGGCAGUGGUGGUGCACACCUGUGUCCCAGUACUGUGGAGACGGAGGCCUGCCGAUGUCUCCGGAGGCGGAGAGAGCUUGUCAGACAGGAAGUUACCAACCUGGGAAUGUCUCUGGGGAGAACCGCCCCACUGCUUUAGUAUUUGGAGGAAUUUCACUCUGCGGUUUAAAAUGCAAAUAGGAACUGUUUCCUGGUCAUUCCCCAGCCAGAGCUUCACAGGCACUGAACUGGGUGCUGCCUUCGUGGUUGGUAAAGAAAGCGGGGCUUUUUCUUCUCAAGGGACUUCUCUUGCACUGCCACCUGACCUACUUGGAAGACACAAACAUUCGUCUUUGACACCUUCCCUUUCUGUUUUACUUGUUUAAAAGAAGUGACACCCUUGUGCUGGUGAUGGAACAUGUCCUUUAAGAUUUCCCCUUUGCUUUGCGAGCAGGAACUCAAGGUCAAUGAACGCUUUUGUCCUGGUCUGAUGGACACCACAAGAAAGGGACUUUUCACCCUUAGAGCACAGUGAAGCAGCUCUGAGAACGU
rnacentral:lncRNA from 1 species